UACAUUGGGUGUCAAGUGUAAUAACAAUCUUAGUUCUGCUAUCGACCGCUGUGGUGCGCAUCGGCGUAAACUGCGCACGACUUUUUGGCAUAUGUCUACUACUUUUUCAUUGGAAUAAAAUCUAUACCAAAAUCUAAAUUCACCUCAUCUUUAUAGGCUAUAACUUUACAGUAAUACACUAACACUAGGCAGUGAAAUUAACUUUGCAAAAUUCAAAACCAAAAUUGCUUCUUCGUCAUGAUCUGGCGAGUUCAAUGAUGCAUAGUAUGAUGAUCUAUUUAUUUGAUUUAGGCUGAUUGAGAGGCUAAUUGUGUAAUAUUAUAUACGAAAUCAAAAUACAGAAUUCUUCGCCAUGGC